CUCGCCAAAUCUGGAAAUGCGUAGUUGUUCUGCCCCAGAGCCCAGCGAAAGUGACACUGCAACGAGGGGGAUCCCCGGCUGCGUGGGCAUCUGCUUCAGCGAUAGACCCAGAUGUUAGUCGAGUCACGUCCCACCGCCCUCUGCCCUCGAAAUGCUGCCAAGUACGCGGGCCCGCGAUUGUCACGUGACGCCGGGGUUCAGCGUAUCCUCGCCGGGCAACCGUCUUAGAGACCAGCAUCUCUGGCUGCAACAUGAAUGUGAUCUAUCCACUGGCGGUCCCCAAGGGGCGCAGGCUCUGCUGUGAGGUGUGCGAAGCCCCAGCUGAGCGGGUGUGCGCGGCCUGCACAGUCACUUAUUACUGUGGGGUGGUACAUCAGAAAGCUGACUGGGACAGCAUCCAUGAGAAAAUAUGUCAGCUCUUGAUUCCACUGCGCACUUCUAUGCCCUUCUACAAUUCAGAGGAAGAACGGCAGCAUGGCCUGCAGCAGCUGCAGCAGCGGCAGCUCUGGAGGCUGGGAAGUCCAAGAUCAAGGGGUCAGCAGGUUUGGUUUCUUCUGAGGCCUCUCUUCCUGGCUUGCAGAUGGCUGCCUUCCUGCGGUAUCUUCACGUGGUCCUUUGUGUGCAAGCAUCCCUGGUAUCUCUUUAAGUAUUUGAUUGAAUUCUGCUACACCGUAGCCCAGAAAUACCUCUUUGAAGGGAAACACGAAGAUGCUGUACCAGCAGCUUUGCAUUCCCUUCGCUUCCGCGUGAACCUGUAUGGCCUGAGCUCUGUAGAGCUUGUGCCUGCUUACCUGCUGUUGGCUGAGGCCAGCCUUGGUCUGGGCCGAAUCGUCCAGGCUGAAGAAUAUCUAUUCCAAGCCCAGUGGACAGUCCUCAAAUCAACUGACUGUAGUAAUGCCACCCACUCUUUACUGCAUCGGAACCUGGGACUUCUCUAUAUAGCUAAGAAAAACUAUGAAGAAGCCCGUUAUCAUCUGGCCAAUGAUGAACUACCAAACUGUUUCCACAGAGGCUGCACCCUUUUACAUUCCCACUGGCAAUGUAUUUAUUUUGCCAGUUGUGCAUUUGGAACAGAGGACAUUAGGACUUCAGGAGGCUACUUCCACCUGGCUAAUAUAUUCUAUGACCUUAAAAAGUUGGACCUGGCAGACACAUUGUACACCAAGGUCUCUGAGAUCUGGCACGCAUAUUUGAACAAUCACUAUCAAGUCCUCUCACAGGCUCACACCCAACAAGUGGAUUUACUGGGCAAACUAUUUGAGAAUGACACUGGCUUGGAUGAAGCCCAGGAAGCAGAAGCCAUUCGCAUCCUGACUUCAAUCUUGAACAUUCGAGAAUCUACAUCUGACAAAGCCCCUCAAAAAACUAUCUUUGUUCUGAAGAUCCUGGUCAUGCUUUACUACCUGAUGAUGAAUUCUUCAAAGGCACAGGAAUAUGGCAUGAGGGCCCUCAGUCUAGCCAAAGAACAACAGCUUGAUGUCCAUGAGCAAAGCGCCAUUCAAGAGUUAUUAAGUCUCAUUUCAACUGAAGACCGUCGCAUUACUUAGUGACCCAUGAGCUCUGCAUCAAGGGUUAUUCCAGGAGCUACGGAACGUCUAAUAUAUUCCAGCCCUGCACAACUGCUUUGAGUUCCUUUCCAGACUUGCCAAGCAGCAUUUUGCUUCGUGAGUAGAUCUGCACCCAGGGAGAAGAUAUGCAGGUCAAGAACCUGUCAGAGAGUUUUAUGUUCCUCACUGUAAAUUAAUUCACUCAGACACAUAUAAUAAAAAUAAGUCAGAUGGGUCACCCUGUCCCUUCAGGUAAAAUCAGCUGGAACCCCGCCCCCCACCCUUCCAUACUUCUGGGCAUUCUUAUGCUUCUCCAAGAUGGCUAUGAAGUCCCAGGGGCUUACUUGUCUUUCAGCCAUCUCUUGAUCUAAUUUUCAGCCUCAGAUGAAUUCUCAUUCUCCAGUCAACAUUGUGUAGCACUUUAUUCUUCUCUUUAAGGACAGAGCCCCUUCUUCUUAGCUCUUAACACAUAACCCCAAAUAUGAGUCAGCUCUUUCAAAUAGACUCUUAAUGAAGACUGGAGGAGUAAGGAGGAGGAUCAACAACUCUUCAGCAGACAAUUUAAAAGAAAAUAUUAGAACUUACCUCUUCUAAAAACAUUCUAAAAAGUCAAUUUUAUUAGACUUUCACUCUAUUCCUUAUUCCUUGGCCUCUUUCUGCCUUCUCACUCCUGUCUUAUCUAUUCUCCUGAAUUCCUGUUCAUUAACCCUUCUGCAUUGAAUAAAUUUAUAAAGUUAUUGUUUAAAUUUAUUGUUUCUUUUUUAAAAUUUUUAUUU